GACGGGGGAUGCAAGCGUUAUCCGGAAUCACUGGGCGUAAAGCGUCUGUAGGCGGUGAUGUAAGUCACUGGUGCAAAACUCUGGCUCAACCGGAGGAAAGCCAGUGAAACUGCAUGACUAGAGUGUGGGCGAGGUAGAAGGAAUUCCCUGAGUAGCGGUGAAAUGCGUAGAUACAGGGAAGAACACCGGAGGCGAAAGCGUUCUACUGGAACACAACUGACGCUGAGAGACGAAAGCUAGGGGAGCGAAUGGG
rnacentral:rRNA from 1 species